GAGGUGGGUUGGGCCGGGCCGGUUGCUAAGACUUGGCGAAGCGCUGCGCUCGCGCCCGGAUCCCUCAGGCGGCUGCAGGCUUCAGCCUGCGCUGGUCGGUGAAACAGAGAUGUCAGAAAAGGAGAACAACUUCCCGCCACUGCCCAAGUUCAUCCCUGUGAAGCCCUGCUUCUACCAGAACUUCUCCGACGAGAUCCCAGUGGAGCACCAGGUCCUGGUGAAGAGGAUCUACCGGCUGUGGAUGUUUUACUGCGCCACCCUCGGCGUCAACCUCAUCGCCUGCCUGGCCUGGUGGAUCGGCGGAGGCUCGGGGACCAACUUCGGCCUGGCCUUCGUGUGGCUGCUCCUGUUCACGCCUUGUGGCUACGUGUGCUGGUUCCGGCCUGUCUACAAGGCCUUCCGAGCCGACAGCUCCUUUAAUUUCAUGGCGUUUUUCUUCAUCUUCGGAGCCCAGUUUGUCCUGACUGUCAUCCAGGCGAUUGGCUUCUCCGGCUGGGGCGCGUGGUAAGCCUCUCUCUGAUGGGCGUGGUGGCUGUGACGCGGCUCAGCUGCCAGGUUGUGGGCCUGCUGGGAAGCCAGGCGGCCACCGGAGCGUGCUGGUCCUGGAUUGUACGCGCUCUCCUAGGGAGGGGUCUGAGCUCGCCCUGGCAGCGCCCGCGUCCUCGCCAGCGCCCACGUCCUCGCCAGCACCCAGCCAUGGUUCGGGAUUGUAGGCACU
rnacentral:sRNA from 1 species